rnacentral:sRNA from 1 species
GGUGCGGUCGGACAUCUGUAAUUCAUGCAGAUCCCUGUGGCAGGGGCGCGCUAUAUGAUUAAUGAUUGCCCAACGGCAUGACUGGAGA